rnacentral:rRNA from 1 species
UACAGAGGGUGCAAGCGUUAAUCGGAAUUACUGGGCGUAAAGCGUGCGUAGACGGUUACAUAAGUCGGGUGUGAAAUCUCCCGGCUCAACUGGGAGGGUGCGGCGGAAACUGGGACGCUGGAGUACGGGAGAGGUAAGCGGAAUUCCUGGUGUAGCGGUGAAAUGCGUAGAUAUCAGGAGGAACACCGAUGGCGAAGGCAGAUCUCUGGGCCGUAACUGACGCUGAGGAGCGAAAGCAUGGGGAGCGAACAGG